AUUCCGCCCUGCCACGUGCCGGGACAUCUCCCACCAGAUCAAGGUGCCCAAGAGCACCAGAUCAAGAACUUCCCUGCAGACUCUCUCAGACACUGGAAGGUUGCCGAGUUCCCCACACCACCUUCUCUUCUCCAGGCUGAACAGCCCCAAAUUUCUCCAUCUUUGUAGGCGGAAUGCUCCAGUUCUCUUAACAACUUCGAGGUCCCCUCUGGACUUGCUCCAAGAGUUCCAUGUCCUCCUUGUACUGGGGACACCAGAACUGUGUGCAGUGCUCCAGGAACCCAGCUAUGGCUGAGGGCAGAGUUGGAGUGCACAGAACUCCAGCCAUUGCCCAGGAGCCACAAACAUCUUCAGUCGUGGAGCUGCAUUCAGAACACACUGCUUAAAGACAGACAAGACGUUCAGAAACCAGCAACAGCAAGCUGAAAUACCACACUGGCACAACCAGAAUGUUUCUUCUUCUGUGCUACCUUGUUCAGCAACAUCUGAAGAAACUGCCUCUCACUGAACUGUAGCACACUGACCUCCUCAAAAACCCAAACAGGUUAUGAGAAUGCCUUAAAACACAGCUGGAUCGCUCACAGGCAGACUAUACUUUGACCACACAAGUAUGGUUUACAGAUUAUGGAAGUUACAGAAACACAUAGCAAAGAGCUCCCGACAGCCUGAAGUAUGUAUCAGCAGAAAGAGCUUCCAAGGGACCUCUCCAUCUCUGCAGUGCUGAAAAACUUCCAGGGAAAAUCUUCCUGGAUACUGACGAUCUCAUCUAACUCAGCCAGCUGCUUCAUUGUGGGAAAGUACCCAUUCACAGAAAAAAUAUUCAUAACCACAAAAUUUUACCCCUAAAA